rnacentral:rRNA from 1 species
UACGUAGGCAGCAAGCGUUGCUCGGAAUUACUGGGCGUAAAGGGCGCGUAGGCGGCUCUGCACGUCCGUUGUGAAAUCGCCCGGCUCAACUGGGCGGGGUCAGCGGAUACGGCGGAGCUUGAGCAAGCUAGGGGGCAAUGGAAUUCCCGGUGUAGUGGUGGAAUGCGUAGAUAUCGGGAGGAACACCAGUGGCGAAGGCGGUUGCCUGGGGCUUUGCUGACGCUGAUGCGCGAAAGCGUGGGGAGCGAUCCGG